UCCAGAUCGAGAGGGAUCUCGUCUCCUUCCUUCCUCCAGCUCCCUCCAGAUCGAGAAAGAGAUCGCCGCCGCCACCUCCCUCCAGCGGAGCUCGCCGUCGUCCAUGGCCUCCCCCACACCCUCCUGCUCCACCCGCUCCUCCUCCCUCCACGCCUACCGCACACCAUUGCCGAUUUCCCAAACCAGACCGCCUCCCCGGUUCAUUCCUUCCCCCCCUCCCACCCACCCGUCUCGGCGCCGCCACCCAACUCGCCAACGACCUUACGCAUCGCCGCCGACCUACGCUCACACCCGCUGCCCCACCCUCUCCACCUCCCCUUCUCCCCCUACCCCGGUAGCACCCAGGCCAACAACACAUGCAGCGGCAAGAUCCACGAUCCAGCAAGCUGGCCUAUGCCUCACCGGAGGCGCACACGCAGAGUGAGGUGGGCUGCCUGCGUGCACACGCCAUGGACCUCCGUCACGGGACGCCAACACGUCUUGUCUGCCCGGCCGCAUCACCAAACGGUUGCCUGCCUGCUCCCUGCCGACGCCAUCCCGUGCUUGGGACGCCGCGCCUACCACGCCCCGACGUCCCUCCUCCCUCUCCCCUGCAUCGGCCUCGUCGUCCGUCCCCGAGAUGGAGAGUGUGCUCAAGGAUGAUGCCAUCCAGGAGAAGGGUGAAUGUGCUAGGGUGGUAACCAGCCCCCUCCCAUCUGAUCUGCUUGUUUUCCUUCUUGGUCUGACUGGGUUGGUUCAUUCGUCAGUUGGUUGGAUGGCGCUGCUACAACUGUGUGCAAUUAGUAUAUAGUGAUCUCACUUAGACUACAAAAUCCAUAUAUUUUCCUGAUCUUUGUAUAGGUGGUAUGAUUAUAACUGAACCAUAUGUUCUGUUUUAUAAUAUAUAACUGAAUCAUGAGUUUGUUUCAUAUUUUAACCUACAUGAAAGGAAGUGUGAUUGUUGACGAUGGUUAUUGUUGCUGAAUCCAUAUCCUGGUUCAGACUUAUAUUUUGCUAUUCUUAGGUGGCGGGCUUAUACGGCAUCGCGAGCAGGAGGGCCAUGAGGGGUUUGCUGCUCUUCUCCUAGGGCGACCAAGAGGUCCUGCCCCGAGCUCAUGCACGUCCACGCCGACCCACCACAACAGCGAAGUGUGGCUGGACGAUCGAGGCUGCUAUUCUGCCUUGAUCUGCACACAAAGAGUUCCUAGACCUGACUUGAAGCAAGGAUACCUACGGCUGCAAGCCAACAAUAUCUGAAGACGGGUGCUGCUUGCCUAUGUUCUCAGCAUAACUAUAGGCUGCCAUGUCUUUUCCACUUUCCUUUUCGCUUUAUGUAAUGCUAACUUGACGGUCAGCCUAUAGUUAUGCGAAGAACAUCGGCAAGCAGCACCUGUCUUCAGACAUACACUGCCAUGUCUUGUUCCAUUAAUCACCUAGUCCUCCUGUUAGUGACAUUCAUCUAGUAUUUUAUUUUGCAAAGCAUGCAAUGGUUUGGAGUACUUGAUCAUGGCCUGAUGGAACCUACAUGUCGUGGUUUACACAUUUACACAUUCAUGGUUUCCUCUGCUGUUUGUAAUUGUUCUGGUUAACUAUGCUAGUAGAUAUCGCGUGGGAUCUGUAGCUAGUGUCUGUUGUGCAUGUCCUCUUUGACGAGUUCAUUCUUUGAAAAAUAUUUCUUGAUAAGUUGCUUUCUUUCCAAAUGCAUACUAUUAUUUCAGAUGCUUUCUAUACUUUAGCUAGUGUCUGUUGUGACAUCUUUCUAUACUUUAGAACUACCACUUAUCAUGUUGCUUAUUUCUGAUGCUUUCUAAGUUGGUAAUAUAUUUCACCAGUACUUGAUUCCUUUUUCAAAUUGUUGUUGCCAUGUGGUUGUCCUUCCCAUUAGUUCAUGUGAAAUUUGGAUUUUAAGAUUAUGGCUUAAUAUGUUGUCUCAUGCUGUUGAUUUCACUUGUGCAGAAUCUAUUGACUAAUCUUGACAAGUUUUGCUCUUCUGACCGCCCGUGCUGCUGCUCUUUGUGCUAAGAGUCCUUGAGUGCUAAAGUGCAUGUCUCGACUUGACUGUGGUUACAAUUAUGGGUUUACUCAAGUUAUACCAAGGGCAGUAAACCAUACAGUGCUCCUUUGUUUGUACUUGCUAGUAUUAAAUUUACGCUCCUUGGAAAGUGCUGGGAUUAGAUAUACCAAGUAGCAACCAGACAAGGCUAAAGUAUAGCUGAUCAGGCUUGCACUGCCCUGAGUGAUGCAAACCUAUAGUGGUUCUUUUAUAGUUCCUUAAUCUACUGACCGAUUUCUAGUAAAGCUAAUAUACACAUUUGCUGGCUCUGUUAAUGGCUAUUUUAUCAGAAUGGUGCCUGUGUACUUUUGUAAUUUGGUGGUUGUUCUAACAUUUGUUAUCAACUCAUGUCAUAUACUAAUGUCAUCACUUUAAUUCAUGGGUUCACAUUAGAAGAUAAUCAUGGUUUUGUUGUAUCACCAUAUUUACCAGGUCCACGAUGGCGUCUGGCCUGUCGAGUCCUUCUGCAGCCGCUGCAGCUACUCCUUCCACAGCUUGGGUGGGACUCGUCGGAUUGGCCUCCUCAUUUCCCAUUUCGGGGCGGCUAGUGAUGCAGCAAACUAAGCAGUAGCAGGCACACCAAGCAGUAGCAGGGGGAGGGUAUCUCUCGAACGUCGCCGCUGCCACUCAUUGCUUCUGUCACUGAUUAAUUAUGGAUGAUCGCUAUUAGUUUAGCUCCUUGGUACUCCCCCCUCUCUCGCAAGCGUGUAGAAAUAGAUAUGGUAGCUGUAGUCCCAUGUAGCUGUAGUUCCUGUACUCGGUCUGCCCUUGGUUGCUUCAUUUCUAUGUUAAU